AUUGAACGCUGGCGGCAUGCCUUACACAUGCAAGUCGAACGGUAACAGGUCUUCGGAUGCUGACGAGUGGCGAACGGGUGAGUAAUACAUCGGAACGUGCCCAGACGUGGGGGAUAACGAGGCGAAAGCUUUGCUAAUACCGCAUACGAUCUAAGGAUGAAAGCAGGGGACCGCAAGGCCUUGCGCGUUUGGAGCGGCCGAUGGCAGAUUAGGUAGUUGGUGGGAUAAAAGCUUACCAAGCCGACGAUCUGUAGCUGGUCUGAGAGGACGACCAGCCACACUGGAACUGAGACACGGCCCAGACUCCUACGGGAGGCAGCAGUGGGGAAUUUUGGACAAUGGGCGAAAGCCUGAUCCAGCAAUGCCGCGUGCAGGAUGAAGGCCUUCGGGUUGUAAACUGCUUUUGUACGGAACGAAAAGGCUCUGGCUAAUACCUGGGGCACAUGACGGUACCGUAAGAAUAAGCACCGGCUAACUACGUG
rnacentral:rRNA from 1 species